ACGGCCAGCCAUGCCACCCUGAACAACCCCAAUCCUGUUUGAUCUCGGAAGCUAAGCAGGGUCAGGCCUGGUUAGUACUUGGAUGAGAGACCACCUAGGGAAGACCAAGUGCUAUAGGUG
rnacentral:rRNA from 1 species